GCCAAAUGAUGCUUAUCUGCUACAGGAGCACGUCAGUGCAAGGACGACUUGUAUCUAUCACCCAUGACUGAUGGUU